GAUGAACGCUGGCGGCGUGCCUAAUACAUGCAAGUCGAGCGAACGGACGAGAAGCUUGCUUUUCUGAUUUUAGCGGCGGACGGGUGAGUAACACGUGGAUAACCUACCUAUAAGACUGGGAUAACUUCGGGAAACCGGAGCUAAUACCGGAUAAUAUUUUGAACCGCAUGGUUCAAAAGUGAAAGACGGUCUUGCUGUCACUUAUAGCUGGAUCCGCGCUGCAUUAGUUAGUUGGUAAGGUAACGGCUUAGCAAGGCAACGAUGCAUAGCCGACCUGAGAGGGUGAUCGGCCACACUGGAACUGAGACACGGUCCAGACUCCUACGGGAGGCAGCAGUAGGGAAUCUUCCGCAAUGGGCGAAAGGCUGACGGAGCAACGCCGCGUGAGUGAUGAAGGUCUUCGGAUCGUAAAACGCUGUUAGUAGGGAAGAACAUAUGUGUAAGUAACUGUGCACAUCUUGACAGUACCUAAUCAGAAAGCCACGGCUAACUACGUG
rnacentral:rRNA from 1 species